rnacentral:sRNA from 1 species
UUCUAGCCCUGAUGGAAACGGCAUCCUGUUGUGGUGGUGUUCACCACAACAGAUACAGUGUACAGCAGGAAAAGCU